rnacentral:lncRNA from 1 species
CCCCCAGACUUAGGUCAUUCACUUUCUUAGAAGUGUGUGGGUUGCUUGGCAGCGCGUGUGGGCGGUUGGUAGCAGAACUUGCAACCAACCACAAAAGUCCUUGAGGAGGAACUGUAUAAAUUCGGUGGCCAGUGAACUUUCCCUUCACUUGACCACUGAACUGCAAUUAACAGAGACAGGUAGUUGGAAGCACCCAGCUUCACUGUUUAAACUGUCUUCUGUAACCCUCCAACUGAACCUGCCAUAUUCAUGUAUUCAUCCUCUGUCCUGCUCUAGGAACAAAGGACACGAGUGCUUAACUGGACAGUUUGCAUUCAUCAACUGACAGCUAGAGAAGGGGUAUAGACAUAUCCUUUUGGACCCCUUUUUCGUCCAGUUGUCUUGCUCUCACUGUUCAAAGUAUUGAGAGCGUCAUCAAGUCAAGUCUCCAAUUCUUCCAGUUUCCCUUCAUCAAGUCAAGCAAGUCCCGUCAAGUUCUGCAAGUCCCGUCAAGUUCCGUCAAGUCAAGCAAGUCCCGUCAAGUGUACAACAACGGAUCAAGAUAGGCCCUUUAGUCUCCCCUUUUAAAUCCAUUGUAUUAAUUGUAUUGAUUGUUUCGUAAUUAUUAGAACCCUGGGUUUUCUUUUCUUUUGUAAUAUAAAUAUUCUUUAUUGAGGAUAUUUGUAUUAGAUAUACAACGUUUGAAAUCUUAUCCCUUUUUAGCCGGAAUUGAAUAAAACUAACUGGUUCAAGCAAAAUAUACGCGUAUAACCGGUAAAAA